UGGGGAAUCAUGGUCAAUGGGCGAAAGCCUGAACCUGCGACGCCGCGUGAGUGAUGAAGGUCGUAAGAUCGUAAAACUCUUUUCAGGGAUCUUAAAGCACAACCGUCAACAACGGCUGUGUGUGACUCUCCCUGGAAGAAGCCCCAGCCAACUACGUGCCAGCAGCUGCGGUAAUACGUAGGGGGCGAGCGUUAUUCGGAAUUACUGGGUGUAAAGGGUAUGUAGGCGGCCCUUCAAGUCGCGUGUCAAAGUCCAGUGCUCAACGCUGGGUGUGCGCGCGAUACUGACGGGCUUGAGGGCUGGAGAGGUGAGCGGAAUUCCCUGUGUAGUGGUAAAAUACGUAGAGAUCGGGAGGAACACCAGCGGCGCAUGCGUCUCAAUAGACAGUUUCUGACGCUAAGACACGAAAGCGUGGGGAGCAAACA
rnacentral:rRNA from 1 species